UAAUGUAGUUAUAGAAAAAUGAUGAACAAAAUUGAUUAUAAAGUAUAUAGGGGCCACUCAGCUACAUUCCACAAUUUGGACUUCAGGAUAUAUUUUCAUUACGGUAACAUUACACAUUUAUGUUAACUAGACCAGUAUUUCGAACUGUAUCAAAUAACUAUUAAGUGUGUAAUGAUCUUGGUUCCUGUUGCAGGAAAAGUAUGCAUACUACCAUUUCCCACACCUUCAUGUUGAGUGUGGGAUACAGUAGCUGGGUUUGGGAGCUGUGCAGAGGCUUUGAGAAUGAUUGUUUCCAAGUAGCCAAGACUUAACCUGCAAUUCUCUUGGAAAGAUAUCAUUACAGAACAAUGCCAGAAAUUAAGCUAAAGAAAUCCUCUAUUGUAACUGGACUGAUACUAGUUUUAAAACACAUACUACAAAAAAACCUUUUAGUCCCAUGGUCCCAAAGAAUGUCAGAGGUGACAUGAGACUGACCCAGGAAUACAGAAGUGGUUCCUUUGUGGUCUUUACUGUGCUGAAAACACUAAGCUUCCAGCAACGUUUUAAGCAUACCUGCAGAGGACUGAGAAUACAGUAAUAAUCUUGAAUAAUUUUGGGUGGAAGAUCCUGCAGUACAUCCUCCUUCAUCCUCCUUAGGAGGAAUGGCAGAACCUGGCGGUGCAGUGCUUCCAUUGCAAGAACCCCUGGAGGAGACAACGGGAGCCACAUUUUAGGGAAAAAAAAAUUGAAAUGUCCGCCUCUCACCUCCUGUUCUUACACUGGAACUGAUCACACUUUCUCUUUUCAUGUGAAACUCUCAUUUAAAGGAAGAAAACAAGAAAACAAAAAUUUAACAUUUGAUCCUUACCAGCCUCUUGUUCUCGACUGGAGCUUCGGGCAUCUCUACUUGCCAGUAUUGGUUUGCCAUAACGAGCUGCAAAUUGGCGUUCAGUACCCAAAAAUCCCGGCAUGAGGAAGUCAAACAAUGACCACAACUCUAAGACGUUGUUCUGGCAUAGGCGAAACAUUUUUUAAAUUAUUUUCAGAAGUAACGAGUUGUUACAAGUUAUCACAAACAUUUCCAUGCCUAUUUAACACUGCCCAUAAAACUACAAAUGGAACAUUUCUAUGUACUUUUGAGCUCUUGGAAAUUGGUGGCUUUUUCAUCAAACUAAGUUACAGAAGACCUGCACCUAUACUUUGGCACAUAAGACUUUUUACUGUGUCUGAUGUAUUAAGCCACACUCAACAACAAACCCCAGGAGAUACCAGUGGCCUCAGACAGAUACUCCAUGAACAAGGCAUUAGGAGAAAGCCCAAAGUCUGGGGUUCCCUCCCUGCCUGCUGCUUAUAGAACAAGUGGUAGAGAAAGUCUUGUUGCCAGCUUUUGAGCUCCUAUUAGUACCAUGGAUCUUGCACCUAUUCCCUGAUACAUGGGUAUACUAGGAAAGGAAAAAGAUGCAGUUUCAAGUAUUUAGCAGUGAAAGGCUUUUCUUUUUUUUUAAUAAAAUGUAUAUACUUCAAACAAGACGACUAAUAAAAAGCACAAUCAGACUGCAAAAUAUAUCUGUUUCACUUGUUUUCACCCCACUCACCCAACUCCUUAGGAAAAGAGAAGCAGUUACCUGGAUUGGUGUCCCAGAAAGAAUAAUCCUGUAAUUGGCAGUCAGCUGUUUUACUGCUUUUGACAGUUUAGUUUUUCCAUUUUUAAUUACAUGGCCUUCAUCAAGAAUGCAGUAAUUAAACUUAAUAUUUCUGGAAAAGAAGAAUACAGGCUUAAGUACCAUUUAAAAUUCUAAGCUAUUAAAAACCUCAGAAAACAAACCAACUCUUACCUGAAGAAAUCAAUGUCAUUUCUUACAACAUCAUAUGAAGCCACUAUGAGAUUGUGUCUUUUCACCUGGUGCUGUAAUCUUAAGAAAAAAUAAAAUAGAGGAGAUAACUAAAA